rnacentral:snRNA from 1 species
GUCCCUUCGGGGACAUCCGUUAAAAAUGGAACGAUACAGAGAAGAUUUGCAUGACCCCUGCGCAAGGAUGACAUGCACAAAUCGAGAAAUUUAAGAUCCAAUUUUUU